UGGGGAAUAUUGGACAAUGGGGGGAACCCUGAUCCAGCCAUGCCGCGUGUGUGAAGAAGGCCUUAUAGUUGUAAAGCACUUUAAGCGAGGAGGAGGGUACUGGUAUUAAUACUACCAGGUACUGGACGUUACUCGCAGAAUAAGCACCGGCUAACUCUGUGCCAGCAGCCGCGGUAAUACAGAGGGUGCGAGCGUUAAUCGGAUUUACUGGGCGUAAAGCGUGCGUAGGCGGCUAAUUGAGUCGGAUGUGAAAUCCCCGAGCUUAACUUGGGAAUUGCAUUCGAUACUGGUUAGCUAGAGUGUGGGAGAGGAUGGUAGAAUUCCAGGUGUAGCGGUGAAAUGCGUAGAGAUCUGGAGGAAUACCGAUGGCGAAGGCAGCCAUCUGGCCUAACACUGACGCUGAGGUACGAAAGCAUGGGGAGCAAACAGG
rnacentral:rRNA from 1 species